rnacentral:rRNA from 1 species
GGGUUGUGAGGUUAAGCGACUAAGCGUACACGGUGGAUGCCCUGGCAGUCAGAGGCGAUGAAGGACGUGCUAAUUUGCGAUAAGCGUCGGUAAGGUGAUAUGAACCGUUAUAACCGGCGAUUUCCGAAUGGGGAAACCCAGUGUGAUUCGUCACACUAUCAUUAACUGAAUCCAUAGGUUAAUGAGGCGAACCGGGGGAACUGAAACAUCUAAGUACCCCGAGGAAAAGAAAUCAACCGAGAUUCCCCCAGUAGCGGCGAGCGAACGGGGAGCAGCCCAGAGCCUGAAUCAGUGUGUGUGUUAGUGGAAGCGUCUGGAAAGGCGCGCGAUACAGGGUGACAGCCCCGUACACAAAAAUGCACAUGCUGUGAGCUCGAUGAGUAGGGCGGGACACGUGGUAUCCUGUCUGAAUAUGGGGGGACCAUCCUCCAAGGCUAAAUACUCCUGACUGACCGAUAGUGAACCAGUACCGUGAGGGAAAGGCGAAAAGAACCCCGGCGAGGGGAGUGAAAAAGAACCUGAAACCGUGUACGUACAAGCAGUGGGAGCACAGAGCAAUCUGUGUGACUGCGUACCUUUUGUAUAAUGGGUCAGCGACUUAUAUUCUGUAGCAAGGUUAACCGAAUAGGGGAGCCGAAGGGAAACCGAGUCUUAACUGGGCGUUAAGUUGCAGGGUAUAGACCCGAAACCCGGUGAUCUAGCCAUGGGCAGGUUGAAGGUUGGGUAACACUAACUGGAGGACCGAACCGACUAAUGUUGAAAAAUUAGCGGAUGACUUGUGGCUGGGGGUGAAAGGCCAAUCAAACCGGGAGAUAGCUGGUUCUCCCCGAAAGCUAUUUAGGUAGCGCCUCGUGAAUUCAUCUCCGGGGGUAGAGCACUGUUUCGGCAAGGGGGUCAUCCCGACUUACCAACCCGAUGCAAACUGCGAAUACCGGAGAAUGUUAUCACGGGAGACACACGGCGGGUGCUAACGUCCGUCGUGAAGAGGGAAACAACCCAGACCGCCAGCUAAGGUCCCAAAGUCAUGGUUAAGUGGGAAACGAUGUGGGAAGGCCCAGACAGCCAGGAUGUUGGCUUAGAAGCAGCCAUCAUUUAAAGAAAGCGUAAUAGCUCACUGGUCGAGUCGGCCUGCGCGGAAGAUGUAACGGGGCUAAACCAUGCACCGAAGCUGCGGCAGCGACGCUUAUGCGUUGUUGGGUAGGGGAGCGUUCUGUAAGCCUGCGAAGGUGUGCUGUGAGGCAUGCUGGAGGUAUCAGAAGUGCGAAUGCUGACAUAAGUAACGAUAAAGCGGGUGAAAAGCCCGCUCGCCGGAAGACCAAGGGUUCCUGUCCAACGUUAAUCGGGGCAGGGUGAGUCGACCCCUAAGGCGAGGCCGAAAGGCGUAGUCGAUGGGAAACAGGUUAAUAUUCCUGUACUUGGUGUUACUGCGAAGGGGGGACGGAGAAGGCUAUGUUGGCCGGGCGACGGUUGUCCCGGUUUAAGCGUGUAGGCUGGUUUUCCAGGCAAAUCCGGAAAAUCAAGGCUGAGGCGUGAUGACGAGGCACUACGGUGCUGAAGCAACAAAUGCCCUGCUUCCAGGAAAAGCCUCUAAGCAUCAGGUAACAUCAAAUCGUACCCCAAACCGACACAGGUGGUCAGGUAGAGAAUACCAAGGCGCUUGAGAGAACUCGGGUGAAGGAACUAGGCAAAAUGGUGCCGUAACUUCGGGAGAAGGCACGCUGAUAUGUAGGUGAAGCGACUUGCUCGUGGAGCUGAAAUCAGUCGAAGAUACCAGCUGGCUGCAACUGUUUAUUAAAAACACAGCACUGUGCAAACACGAAAGUGGACGUAUACGGUGUGACGCCUGCCCGGUGCCGGAAGGUUAAUUGAUGGGGUCAGCGCAAGCGAAGCUCUUGAUCGAAGCCCCGGUAAACGGCGGCCGUAACUAUAACGGUCCUAAGGUAGCGAAAUUCCUUGUCGGGUAAGUUCCGACCUGCACGAAUGGCGUAAUGAUGGCCAGGCUGUCUCCACCCGAGACUCAGUGAAAUUGAACUCGCUGUGAAGAUGCAGUGUACCCGCGGCAAGACGGAAAGACCCCGUGAACCUUUACUAUAGCUUGACACUGAACAUUGAGCCUUGAUGUGUAGGAUAGGUGGGAGGCUUUGAAGUGUGGACGCCAGUCUGCAUGGAGCCGACCUUGAAAUACCACCCUUUAAUGUUUGAUGUUCUAACGUUGACCCGUAAUCCGGGUUGCGGACAGUGUCUGGUGGGUAGUUUGACUGGGGCGGUCUCCUCCUAAAGAGUAACGGAGGAGCACGAAGGUUGGCUAAUCCUGGUCGGACAUCAGGAGGUUAGUGCAAUGGCAUAAGCCAGCUUGACUGCGAGCGUGACGGCGCGAGCAGGUGCGAAAGCAGGUCAUAGUGAUCCGGUGGUUCUGAAUGGAAGGGCCAUCGCUCAACGGAUAAAAGGUACUCCGGGGAUAACAGGCUGAUACCGCCCAAGAGUUCAUAUCGACGGCGGUGUUUGGCACCUCGAUGUCGGCUCAUCACAUCCUGGGGCUGAAGUAGGUCCCAAGGGUAUGGCUGUUCGCCAUUUAAAGUGGUACGCGAGCUGGGUUUAGAACGUCGUGAGACAGUUCGGUCCCUAUCUGCCGUGGGCGCUGGAGAACUGAGGGGGGCUGCUCCUAGUACGAGAGGACCGGAGUGGACGCAUCACUGGUGUUCGGGUUGUCAUGCCAAUGGCACUGCCCGGUAGCUAAAUGCGGAAGAGAUAAGUGCUGAAAGCAUCUAAGCACGAAACUUGCCCCGAGAUGAGUUCUCCCUGACUCCUUGAGAGUCCUGAAGGAACGUUGAAGACGACGACGUUGAUAGGCCGGGUGUGUAAGCGCAGCGAUGCGUUGAGCUAACCGGUACUAAUGAACCGUGAGGCUUAACCUUACAACGCCGAAG